GGGGGUCUCGCUGUGUUGCCCAGGCUGGAAUGCAGUGGUUAUUCACAGGUAUGAUCAUAAUGCACUGCAGUCUCCUACUCCUGGCUUCAAGUGCUCCUCUUGAAAUUGACUACUCAGCUUCCCAAGUAGCUGGGACUACAGAAAACAUCAAGUGAAUCAAGAAAGAAUAGAGCUCUGAGGACCACUGAAGAUUCAUGAGGAUCUUUGUGAAUGCUCUGCAGAUGAAAAAGAGUCAUUUGUGAGUCAGGAAUUUUCUCACCUCUCCCUGACCCAGACGCUGUGGUGAAUUAUGAUUGCCACCCUGGGCAGCUGGUUUCGUUCGUGGGCGGCCACUACUCUCAGGCUCCUGGAAGAUUGCAACCCCUGCAAACAAGCUUGUUAAGGUUUUAAACAUGAAUCAGAGACAUCAGCAAAGGCCAAAUGGGACAUCCUGCAAUCUUUAGUGUGGACCACAAGAAGCUAUUUUUUCCCUAUAGGUGCCUUUCUUGCUUACUUCCUGAUUUCUGGCUUUGUUUUAUGUGGAUAAGGGUUUGGGCU
rnacentral:lncRNA from 1 species